rnacentral:RNase_P_RNA from 1 species
GCAGUCGGACCGGAUGGUCGCCUGUACGCGCAAGCGCAUGGGAGGAAAGUCCGAACUCCGCAGAGCAGUGUGCCGGAUAACGUCCGGGAAGCCCGGUUCAAGCCGGGUUGACGGAAAGUGCCACAGAGAAUAUACCGCCCCGGCGGCAACGCCAGGGUAAGGGUGAAAAGGUGCGGUAAGAGCGCACCGCUCCGGCUGUAAAGUCGGAGGCAGGGUAAACCCCACACGGAGCAAGACCAAAUAGGCGGGGAAAUUGUUUGGCGCAAGCCGGACAUGCGCGUGCCGGCCCGGUGCGCCAAACCCGCGGGUAGGUCGCUAUGAGCGCGCGCAGCAAUGCGCCGCCUAGAGGAAUGAUCGUCCUCGACAAAAUUCGGCUUACAGGCCACUUGCCAAU